rnacentral:rRNA from 1 species
AACGAACGCUGGCGGCAUGCCUAACACAUGCAAGUCGAACGAGACCUUCGGGUCUAGUGGCGCACGGGUGCGUAACGCGUGGGAAGCUGCCCUUAGGUUCGGAAUAACUCUCCGAAAGGGGUGCUAAUACCGGACAAUGUCUUCGGACCCAAGAUUUAUCGACCUAGAUGGGGCCCGCGUUGAAUUAGCUGGUGGGUACGGUUAAAGCCUACAACGGCGACGAUCCAUAGCUGGUCUGAGAGGAUGAUCAGCCACUCCGGGACUGGGAAGCGGCCCAGACUCUUACGCGAUGCAGGAGAGGGGAAUAGAGGAAAAUGGGGGGAAUCAUGAACGAGCUAGGACGCGAGAGUGAUGAAGGCCGUAGAGUUGUAAAGCUCUUUUACCCGGGAUGAUAAUGACAGUACCUAGAGAAUAAGCUCCGGCUAACUCCGUG